rnacentral:rRNA from 1 species
GGGUCAGUAGGUUGGUCGUGCCACCGGUACGUACUGGCCUCACUGAUUCCUCCUUCCUGAAGAACCGUAAUGCCAUUAAUUUGGUGUUGCGGGGAAACAGGACUGUUACUUUGAAAAAAUUAGAGUGUUUAAAGCAAGCUAACGCUUGAAUACAUUAGCAUGGAAUAAUGAAAUAGGACGAUCGAUCCUAUUUUGUUGGUUUCUAGGAUUGACGUA